rnacentral:rRNA from 1 species
AUUGAACGCUGGCGGCAGGCUUAACACACGCAAGUCGAGCGGGGGAAGGUAGCUUGCUACCGGACCUAGCGGCGGACGGGUGAGUAAUGCUUAGGAAUCUGCCUAUUAGUGGGGGACAACAUCUCGAAAGGGAUGCUAAUACCGCAUACGUCCUACGGGAGAAAGCAGGGGAUCUUUGGACCUUGCGCUAAUAGAUGAGCCUAAGUCGGAUUAGCUAGUUGGUGGGGUAAAGGCCUACCAAGGCGACGAUCUGUAGCGGGUCUGAGAGGAUGAGACGCCACACGGGGACUGAGACACGGCCCAGACUCCUACGGGAGGCAGCAGUGGGGAAUAUUGGACAAUGGGGGGAACCCUGAUCCAGCCAUGCCGCGUGUGUGAAGAAGGCCUUAUGGUUGUAAAGCACUUUAAGCGAGGAGGAGGCUACUUUAGUUAAUACCUAGAGAUAGUGGACGUUACUCGCAGAAUAAGCACCGGCUAACUCUGUGCCAGCAGCCGCCGUAA